CCCGGAAGUAGCAGUCUUGGCCACAACCGCAGUGUUGGAACCACUCGAGGGAGGAUGAGGGGCACAACGGAGGAAGCGGCGCCCGACCAGAUAUCCGAGCUGCAAGCCCCUGAACCGCAGCCUCCACAGAGGAGAUCCCGACCCUGUAGGCCUAGAACAUCUCCUCAGAUGAAGAUUAUAUGACCUCACUCUGCAUUGAGUUGAAAGAAGAAACCAGAAUGUUGGGGUAUGUCGUAUCAGGAGUUUUUGCAAUAGGAGCAGAGAAGACACAUUCUCCAAAAUUGGUAAGAAUUAUUGAAGCAACUUGAAAAAUAAAAAUUUUGCUUGUCAAAAACAAGGAUAUAAAUAAGGAGGGUAUAUCAUUGCCUCUUAAGCAGUAGAAAUGUAUUCAAAAUACUGAAAUCUAA
rnacentral:lncRNA from 1 species